rnacentral:rRNA from 1 species
UACCAGCACCCCGAGUGGUCGGGACGAUUAUUGGGCCUAAAGCAUCCGUAGCCGGUACUGCAAGUCUUCCGUUAAAUCCACCUGCUCAACAGUUGGGCUGCGGAGGAUACUACAGCGCUAGGAGGCGGGAGAGGCAAGCGGUACUCAUUGGGUAGGGGUAAAAUCCACUGAUCCAUUGAAGACCACCAGUGGCGAAGGCGGCUUGCCAGAACGCGCUCGACGGUGAGGGAU